CAGUGCUAUUUAGAAACAAUAUAAAAAAUGAAAAAGAAUAAUUUAGAGUAUGCUUUCAAAAUAGUUUGUGACUUAUUUUUGAAGGAUUACUAAAAAGAAGCUUUAAUAGCUCUCAGCAAUAGCAGAGAUUGUUUGUUUGCAAACCGACAGGCAGUAAAAAAUCUAUUGUGUUCCGAUUUUUACCCUUUUUUACCUUCACUUUAAACUUAUUAAGAAAAGGACGAGCACCUCAUAGUAUUCUAUAUGAAUAUGUACUUAAGUUGUGCAAUAAUUAAAUUUUAGUUGUUUCUCCGGUUUUGAGUUUAAUGAAAGAUCAAGAAAACAUUCUAAAUAAAAACUUUUUACUACAAAGGAAAUAAAGUAGCUUUUAUGAAGCAUAAUCAACAAAGAAAAAAGUAUAGAAGAUGAUCAAACAGAGAUAAAUUACUAUGAAACAAAUGUAAUAUUUUGUUCACCUCAAGCCAUUGUAACAACUUAUUGAUCAAUUGUCAAUGAGUCUGGUUUUAAUCAGAAACUUAUUUCAAUUGCAGCUGAUGAAAGCCAUUGUGUGAAAAAGUGGGGAAGUUCAAGUACAUAAUCAGAUGUAUUUCGGUCUCAUGAUAAUAGACUCAGAAUUGUGAUCACUUGUCUCUAAAAAGAUUCCAGAAUUGCCAUUGGCAGCAACUGCAACUAAACAAAAAUUGUAAACAAUAAUUUUCAUUUACUUGACUAGAUUAUUUAUUUACUAGUCAAGAAGGAAACAUCGUAAUAGCUGAGUAGGUGGAGCCAGCAUUUGAACCUCCAAUCCUGCUUCUGUAGCCAAUAAUUAUUCCGAACUUAUAACAGUGCUUUAACUAACUGAGCUAUCCUGAACUUAUAACAGUGCUUUAACCAACUGAGCUACCAUUAUUGAUAAUCUUUGUAUGCAUAAUUUAGUUAUUAUAUCAUCUACACCAGAAAGAAGAAAUAUUAAAGACCAGAUCCAAAGAAAUUUUUCUGCCCAGUUGUUCAAGAUAUUUUUUUGAAUACGUAUUCAGCUAAAAGAACUUUAGUCUUUUCUACAACUAUGACUGAUGUAAGAUCAAUUUAUUGGUACUUUUCUACCACUAUGACUGAUGUACGAUCAAGUUAUUGGUACUUUCACAAUGAACAAGUUCAAAAAGGUGUAAAAUAUAAAAGCUAUCUUGAUAGACCAUACGUUUCAUUCCAAUAAUUUCAUUCCAAAACAGAUUUUAAUGAUGAAAAGUAUAAUACAAAACAAAAAUAUAAACAACCUCUAACCUUGAUCAAGCUUCGUUUUUUUGUUCGAAAAUAUCCUACUAUUCGUUUCUUCUGGUGUUGGUGUAGAUAUCAAUAUUUUUUGUGAGUUUUCUUUAAGAAUUUCAUGAUCUCUUGAGAUGGUAUUUAUAUUUUUUGUAUUUUUGCUAAUAUUCUUUUUACAUUUGUAUAGCAUAUUUUACAAAUACAAUGAUAGUUUUUUUGAAAAAAUUAGUUUUUUGGAGACAUAAAAUGCACACGCUUAACGAAUUAGGAGGUAAGAAAACCUCAUAAGGUUGUGCCCUUUUUUUUGGCAAUGGUAAAAUGUUUUUUUUUUAAGCAAUGAAACAUUGUGAUCAUUGCAUUGAAAAUCAAAUAACUUAUCCUCCAUUUAUUAAAAACUGGAUACCACAGGGUUUCCACACCUUAAAAACCUUAAAUAUCCUUAAAAAAUAAAAACCUCCUUAAAUUUCCUUAAAUAACCUUAAAAAAAGUUAAAAUUUGACU